rnacentral:lncRNA from 1 species
UGUUCUUAGUACUACCUUCGUGAUCCCACGCUCCUAAACAUAUAAGCUAAUAUGUUGCACAUUCAAUAUUUGGAAGAUAUAAACAAAACAUAAAUAUAGAUAGAUUAUCUUUCCAUUAGGUUGAGCCAUCUGAUCUGACAAAUGUUUCAAAUACUACACUCAUGAUCUUAUUAUCCAUCAACUUUGUCUUGCUCACUAUGCUUAAAGUUAGAGAAAAACAAAUACACUUUUGGUUCUGUUGGUGUUUUCCACCAACAGAGCCCAUGCACUUGAUCUCUGCCUUGUCUCUAUGAAUAGGUACACUUCAAGCAAAACAUGGAGGAGUUUUACAACUUCCAGACUCCACCAAGUGAAGGACCUGGAUCUAUGAGCACAAACACACUGAGCAGGAUAUUGCCAACACCAUACUUGGAACUGCUGGGCAAAGAAGAACAUGGGUGACACUGUAUCAAGAGGUGCAGACGUCAAGGUCCACACCUAAUCAAAUGAUGCACCUAAAGGAUGAAGAUGGUGGAAAGUCUUGUCCAGAAGACUUAAAACAUUGGAUCCUUGUCGGAAGAGGUCAACAUCGUCGACUCAAGUCACCUUUCUUGAUCAAGAAGGACGACCCUGGUGUUCCAAGCAGCGAGUGCGCAAUCAAUGGAUACUCUUUUCAGAAGACACUCUACGACACCGGAUCUGACGACAACAUAAUGGCCGCAGUCAUUUAUCAGCUCCUGCAUGGAAUCAUGCCCCUACAACCAAUAUAUUCAGCUCCAAAUGAUUUUCAGGUCAUUGACAUGGGAGAAGACGAAUAUGAUCCACCCACCAUCCUUGGAAGACCGUUCCUCAACACUAUCAAAGCAAUCAUCUACAUUGGAACCGGAGAAGUCCACAUGAACUUCCCCUCUGAGAAGGUACGCAACUAUUUUACUGACCAUAACUAUAUAGUUAAAGACUCUAAGCAGGUCAGGACAAGAAGACGACGCAAUCGCAACUAAGAGGAGGCAAAUCAUCAAGAACGGAUGGGUAGACUGCGAAGGAGAAGUGAUAAAGACUGAAGACAUACAGCUUGAACAGAACUGUCCUGAGGAGACUGUAGCACCGAGUCAGGUGUGGAGGGAGAAGAUAGUUAUACACAAAGAGAGGCGCCGCCGGAAUCACCGACUACGCCACCUAGCGAAUCCCAGGACGACUGAGAAAACAGAGAGUCCUGUUCGGAGGACUUAAAAAUACCGAACGCCUUGCCAAGAGGUAAACUUGGUAGUUAUCCUUUUCCAUUAAAUAGUUUGCUUAGUUAAUCAGGUUCAUGCUAUCUUGAAAAGAAAAUAAAAAUGUUAAAUAGUAAGCCCCAUGUGAGUAUGCUCAUGACAUAAAACCCAUAAGUACAUUCACUGUGGUGGCAUAAAAAUAAAAUAAAUAAGUUUUCAUCUUACAAUAAAAAUAUAAAAUAAUAAUAAUAAUAAUAAUAAUAAUAAGUGUAUGAUCCUGCUAAAUAAAUAAUAUUUAUUAAGGAAGCUCAACAUGAUGAAGGCUAGAUAUUUAUGCUAACACUUAAUUAGUUCCACAAGCUUUGUUGUCUAUUUGAGCUCCACAGAAUUUAAGAAUCAAGAAGACUAGCAGACGGAGGACAUUCUAAUCGCUGUCAGAAUGCUGCUGACUUUCAAAUACACCUCUACCACCUGCUAGCUACAUCAAGAGAAAUUACGUCAAAAUUCAGCUUGGGGGAGAGCACCCCCAUUUAUCUCGCUAAGUAUUUCUACCUAUCUUUAUACUUAUAUUAUGUUAGAAUAUUAAAAUACAUAAACUAUGAAAAACCAAAUAAAGAUUUUGUGCUUAUAUAUAUCUUUUGCUUAGUAUGUUUAAUAAAUAAAUAAAGUGGCUAUGCUAAUCUGAAUCUUAAUAAUAAAACUCUAGCAUGGAUAUGAUGAAUAGUUGCUCUGCCUAAUUUGCAAUUUUGAAGUUCUCUCUCAAGUUUAGACAUAACUGUUAUAAUUUAAAGCUUGCUCUAGAUCUAAACUUGUGGGAUGAAAACUUGAUCUGAAAUCUAAGUUGUUAACGGAUGUGAUAUGGGAAGGUUGAGCUGCUGUUUAUCUGUUCCUAGAGAUGCUAGAAUUCUGGAGAAUUUUAUCUUUGAAAAAUCUUUAAAGUAUUGCAUGAUGAGUUCUUGUAUGAUGAGAGUUUAAAUUCCUACCACAACCAUAUAUACAUGCUUGCUAGACUUUGAGCCACACAUUUACUAUUUACUGCUUAUGAGCAUUGAGUGUGGUCAAGCUGUGUAGACCCUUAGGAACUUGUCAUGUGGUUAAAUCAAGACUCACUUGCACGUUCACUCAUAUAUGCUACUUCUACUUCAGAAGUACCAUCCACAUAUAUCCAUCCAUUUCCAUCUCCAGAAUCACCCAAAAAUAUUCUACUCCUAAUCCGGGAGAGAAUAGUCAAAAACAUUUUCCUAUCCCUGUUAUUCCCUGUGAAAUAAAUCCUCCAAAUAUUUUGGUUACUACCACUUGCUAUAUUAUCUCAAGAGAUGAGUGCUCUGAAAAAAAAAAGAAAAGAAAAGAGAAGAAAAAAAUAUAUAUAUAAACGAGGAAAUAAAAAGGGGCAAGUGCCCGGAACCUCGAAAGAAAGAAAAAGUGAGAUCAGAGGUAAAAAUGGACAAGUGUCCGACAGUAGAAUUAGGGGUACAAGAUACCCACCUAAAAAAAAGAGAGAGAGCAUCUCAUUCUCCUCAUAAAGUUUCAAAAAGCAAGGAAGGUAUGUAUCCCCUCAAAAGAGCGAAAGUAGAAUUAGACUUUCACCAUUGUUAUUACCAUCUUCACCAUACACCAUUCAUUCGCCACACAUGCACAUCUUGAUUUGGCUUAUUUAUUUGUUUCUCUGGAUCCAUGGUUUGACUGUGCAAUAAAUGUCUUAUAAGUAUGUAUUAACUAUCUCCCACCUAUGAGCUCCAGAUAUGAAGCCUUAUUAGAGUAGGGUGAGAGAGAAGGCAAUGUCACUAUGCCUUAUACCACAAAUACCACAUAUCUUGAGAGAAGGCAUAUACCAUCAAUGCCUUGGUAAGGAUCCAGAAAUACCACAAAAGAGAGAUAUGAGAGAGUCAUACAAGGAAUCUCUGAGUUUUAUUUGAAAAUCUGCAAAAACCCCAGAGCUAUAGCUGAUCAAGAAUAAGAGACAUGGCACUUGGCUAGACUGUUCUAUCUUUUAACCUCUUAAGACAGAAGUGACGGUUACAAGUCCCAUGGUGAAAGGUAAAGUAAGUAAGUUUUAGUUCUUGACAGUUUACUCUAACUCAGAGAUGAGAUCUUAAUUAAAAGCAUGUGUACCGUCAAAUCUUUAAGAUAUUGCAACAACUUCUGAUCCACUGUUGAGUCUAUCCUUGCUCAGGGACGAGCAAGAGGUAAGCUUGGGGGAGCUUGUUGACGGUCCUUAAGUAUCAAAUUUAAUUAUUAAAUAAACAAAGAAAAGGAUCCAAAUGAAAUCAACAUCUAGACUUAGGGUUUUAUCUGACAUAAUUCCACGAGUUUUGGUGUUUGUCUAUUUCUGCAGGGGGUUAUCAGGAAAUAAGGAAGAAAGGCCCACAUGUCAGGAUUACAUAGAGAUAUCAACGCACCGCGCAAUUUUCUACCAUCUAGAAGACUCCAGAAGCCACGAGACCGAAGCAGAGGCGAAAUGGGGCGAGGCCCAGGGCGCCCGCCUUGGUGACCUGGGCGCCCGCCCCCUGCUGGAUUGCUUUCAGGACUCUCUUCGCUCGGGAUGUUCCACCGACCUAUUGGAUCAAGAAAAACAUAGUACCACCUCGCCUAUCGACCCAAAAAUGCAUAGAAGGGGAGGACUAUAUAAGGAGACCCCCCUGGCCCCUGGAGAAGACAUGAAGAAAUUAUCAUAGAGAUUGAGGGGUGCCCUCGAAGGAAAACCUCUUCUCUAAUUAAUAUUUCUUUUUAGGCUUAGCAAUCAAUGUAAGGUAGAAAUAGAUAUUCUAGUUUCUACUAGAUUGAGAGAGAUAGAGUGGAGGUGUAGAUUGGAGGAAACCCGGCCUGUCGGUGUCUACUCCAAGCUUGUACCUGCGGGAUCAAGUUCUCCUAACCCGAAGCUUGCUCCUAGGAUUCUUCAGUAAUUCGACUUCUAAAUUCUAGUAAGUUCUUGUUUUAUUGUUCUUAUGGUUUAUGAGUUUACUUUAAUCUCUUCGCGUAGAGUUUAGAGUAAUCAUUGCUGGCGUAAACGUGGUGUUUAUGCUGGGGUACUCAUAGAUAUUCCCUGACUAGCUGGACCGUGGUAGUAGUGAGGAACGUGACAAUUCCGAGUUACCUUUGUAGAUCACAUCUCGUUAGCAGGAAGGAUAGGGUUUAUAGGUGCGGGUCGAACAUCCUUUGUGUUGUCUAGAUUCCGUGAGCCUCCCCAUUAGAACAGUAGAUCAUCCUUACCAAGGUUAGAAGGAGACUACGGUUGCAGUCUUCUCUAUUUAUCACUCACAUCGAAAGACAUUCUUUGUGCCUAAAGGGAUAGUAGCAAUAGAUUUGGUUAGUCAGAUGCACCCUUUCUCCCAGUGGUAAAAAUAUAAAUACGAUAACUCUGGAUAACCUCCCGGGUGAAAUGCUCACCGAUAUCCGUGCGCUUGCGGAUCAUUUUCUAAUUGCGUUACCAAAUAUCAACACUCUCCCCCUCUGGCGCCCUCUAGCCGCCGAGCUCUUGGCUGUGCUGUAGCCCCAUGCCGACGAGGUCGUUGAGGGACCUCACGCUGCUCCGAGACUUCUUCCACUCCUUAGCCAUCAGUUCAACCCUCUUCUUGGAGUCGCUCUUCGCCAUUGACGCUGGGGAAAUGGAUGCGAGCUGGGUGGACUGAUGGAGGUUGCAGAAGGCAAGAGUGGAAAGCUUGAAGGCAAUGGCAGGGUAAGCAAUACGGGGGGCAAGGUCAAGCUUUUAUAACCAACAACUCCACCCCUCCCACUUCCCGCAUUCUUGGGAAAUGAGCGGACCCAACGGCGGAUGCGGCGUUUUGGUUUUCGAUAAUUAUCGGCAGUUAACACGGCGACCUUUUUUCUUAAUUAAUGUUUUCCUUAUCUUGAACCGUGCAAAGAGCGGCUGUACAGUCACCAGGCGCACCUUUUCAUGCAGCCAUCUGACAAUGCGUCAGGAGGUCUCGUCACAUCACCCAUUUUCGUGAUAAGACGUUUUUUUCAAAAUAACAGACGCAAAUUGGUGGAUGACCAACGUCCCUGGGGACUGCACCGACCACCGAGUACCGUAUGCUCGAGGACUGGUCGACCAGUCUGCCAGUUUGGAUAUCUAGGGACUGCACCGACCACCGAGUACCGUAUGCUCGGGGACUGGUCGACCAGUCUGCCAGUUUGGAUAUAUGGGGACUGCACCGACCACCGAGUACAGUAUGCUCGGGGACUGAUCGACCAGUCUGCCAGUUUGGAGAUCUGGGGACUGCACCGACCACCUAGCACCGUAUGCUCGGAGACUGGUCGACCAGUCUGCCAGUUUGGAAAUCUAGGUAUGCAUCAAUUACCAUGCCCUACACGCUCGGGGACUGGUUGAUAAGUCUGGCCAACGAGCAUGAGAUGUUCGGGGACUGGAUAAUUUUAAUUUUUUAGACCUUGCUACAAGGCUCAUACUUCGCCUUCCAGCAAGCUCGGGGACUACAUCGGUACGAUGCAUCUGGCGAUGCAUCUCAGUUUCAGAAUUUCUUUGAGGACUUUUCUUUUGACCCUGGCACCACGUGCCUACGUCACCUACUACCAGGAUUGGGGACUAAGUGGGCACACUUCACCUUGCGGUGAAUAUGCUUGCUUUUUGAAAGGCUAUACUUUUCAGAAAAAUAAAGUGGGCACACUUCACCAGGAAAGAAAUCUUUUUUAAUUGAGAGCACCAUGCAUUCUUCGAACAACCUGCCUCUUCGAUGACAAUGAUGAUCAAUAGUCUUUUGAGCCGAUCGAAAUAUCGUUGCAAUUGUUUGGGCGACUUUCCUGCUCAUUAAAGACGUCAAGCCUCACGGGUCGAAGAAGCUCAAGACGGCGUGUUACAUUCACAAUACAUGGUGCUCGGUGACUAGCUGUGGGGGUAUAAACCCCUAUACCCUUACGGUUAGACUUGGGCCAGGAGGCUUGGCCCAUUACGAGACAAGUUCGAGGCUUGAUCCGACAGCUCGAAGUUUCACGCAAGGAAACAAGACGUGGAUAUCAAGCAGGAUUCUAGUCGGUUAGAAUAGGAACUGAUAUCGAACUAUCUAUGGCAAUUGUAACCGACUAGGAUUAAUUUCCAGAUCUGUAGCCCUGCCCUCCGGACUAUAUAUGGAGGGGCAGGGGACCCCCCUAAGACACAUUAUUCUCAAUCCAAUACAAUCAGACGCAGGACGUAGGUAUUACGCCCACACGGUGGCCGAACCUGGAUAAAAAGCUUGUUCGUGUCUUGCGUCACCAUUGAGUUCGUAGUUUGCGCACCGUCUACCGAUAAACUACUACCGUGGGUAUACCCCAAGGUAGACUGCCGACUAGCUUUCAUCGACAGACGCGUGGCUCGCCUCACCGUGAGUCAAAGGAAGCGCGAGCUCCGAGAGGUCUGUGCGGUUAGCACAGCAGCGCCCUCAUACCUCAAGUGGUCAGAGAGCGCCAUCACUUUUGAUCGACAGGAUCACCCGGAUCGGAUCCCGAAUCCCAGGAGCUAUCCACUCAUCGUCGACCCCAUCAUCGCCGAGACCCACCUCUCCAAGGUGUUGAUGGACGGAGGCAGCGGCCUCAACAUUCUUUACGCUGAGACCCUGGCCCUCAUGGGAAUCAGUAAGUCUCAGCUAAGGAAUGAUGCACCACCAUUCCAUGGAGUGGUGCCAGGGCAUCAUGCCCAUCCCCUCGGCCAAAUCGAUCUGCCCGUCUGCUUUGGGACUCACGACAACUUCAGGCGGGAAGUCCUUACUUUUGACGUGGUCGGGUUCCCUGGAACCUACCACGCAAUUCUGGGGAGACCAUGCUAUGCCAAGUUCAUGGCCAUCCCCAAUUACACCUACCUCAAGCUCAAGAUGCCAGGCCCAAAUGGCAUCAUCACCGUCAGCACGACGAGCCAGCAUGCCUACCAAUGCGACAUAGACUGCAUUGAGCAGGCCGAGGCUCUGGCCGAGUCACUCUCCAUCAUCACCAGCCUCAGCGGCAUCGACUAGGACAUCCCUGACCCCAAGCGUCACGCCGGGAGCUUCGAGUUGGCGGAGGAGACCAAGCUCAUCUUCCUUGACCCCGAGGCCUCCGAAGGCAAGGCAUUGAGGAUCAGCUCGAGCCUCGACCCCAAAUUUGAAGCAGUACUCAUCGACUUUCUCCAUGCUAACGCCGACGUGUUUCCGUGGAGUCCCUCAGACAUGCCAGGCAUAGCGAGGGAAGUCGCCGAGCACUCCUUAGACAUCCGAGCCGGCUCCAAGCCCGUGAAGUAGCGCCUGCGCCGAUUCGACGACGAAAAGCGUCGGGCCAUCGGGGAGGAGAUCCACAAGCUGCUGGCGGCCGAGUUCAUCAAGGAGGUAUUCAAUCCCGAGUGGUUAGCUAACCCUGUAUUAGUCAAAAAGAAAAAUGGGAAAUGGAGGAUGUGUGUAGACUAUACUAGUUUAAAUAAAGCGUGUCCUAAGAAUCCUUUUCCAUUACCUCAUAUUGACCAAAUAGUUGACUCUACUACGGAAUGUGAAACUUUGUCUUUUCUUGAUGCAUACUCCGGGUACCACCAAAUCAAGAUGAAAGAGUCUGACCAACUCGUGACCUCUUUCAUCACCCCUUUCGGAAUGUUUUGCUACGUAACCAUGCCAUUCGGCCUUAAGAAUGCGGGGGCUACAUACCAGCGAUGUAUGCUCUAGGUCUUCAGAGACCUCAUAGGCAAAACGGUAGAGGUUUACGUGGAUGACAUCGUAGUCAAUUCUAGGAAGGCAAGUGGCCUUGUGGCCGAUUUAGAUGAAACAUUCCGAUGCCUUAGGGCUAAGGGAAUCAGACUGAACCCUGAGAAAUAUGUUUUUGGGGUCUCCCGAGGCAUACUCCUUGGGUUCAUAGUCUCUGAGUGAGGGAUCGAGGCCAACCCCGAAAAGGUCUCGGCCAUUGCAAACAUGGGCCCAAUCCGUAACCUAAAAGGGGUAUAGAGAGUCAUGGGGUGCCUUGCGUCCCUCAGCUGCUUCAUCUCCCGCCUCAGAGAGAAAGGGCUGCCCCUAUAUAUGUUCCUUAGAAAGUACAAGCACUUUUCCUGGACCCCUGAGGCCCAAGAAUCCCUUGACAAGUUCAAGGCUUUGCUCACCAACCCUCCCAUCUUAGUGCCCCCCGACGAGGGGGAGCCACUACGUCACAACCACUGAUCAAGUGGCCAGUGCAGCUAUCGUGGUCGAAAGGAAGGAAGAGGGGCAUGCCCUACCGGUCCAAAGACCGGUGUACUUUGUUAGUGAAGUACUCUCCGACACUAAGACCCGAUACCCCAAAUUCAAAAACUACUCUAUGCGGUAGUCCUAGCCCGACGUAAGCUUGCCCGACGUAAGCUCCACCAUUACUUUGAGUCUCGUCCCACCUCUGUAGUCUCAUCUUUCCCUUUGGGAGAGGUGAUCCAAAACCGAGAGGCUAAUGGCAGAAUUGCUGAGUGGGCUAUAGAGCUCAUGGGUGAUGGAAUCACCUACGAGCCUCAGAAGGCCAUAAAAUCUUAAGUUUUAGCAGAUUUCAUGGCUGAGUGGACAGGAACUCAGUGUUGGUGCAAAAGUAGAUCUGCAAACACAAAGGGGUAAUACCCGAUUCAAACGUUAAGGCGUGCCAGCCGAUUUGACCUUACAGUCGACAAAGGUGGUAACUCGAACACUUUGGCCCCGACAACAGCGAUGCUCCCGGAUGUCACGGCCAAGAGGUAUUCAGGCAGAACUCGAGAACUCGCCGAGGUUUACUCGAAGAAUUCUAAAGAACUCAUAGUAAAAUGAAAAAUUUGCAGGAUGACGAAGUAGUCGAAAAAAUAGAUGCUAUAUGUAAAAAAUUGUGUUUGAUUGAUUGUGUAUAUCCAUUACAUUGCCGCAGAGUCUAUAUUUAUACCCUGUCCAAAAGGGUUACAAUCAGACACGACCAGGACUCGAAUUCCAAAUUAAAUAGAAUCCGUAUACAAAACAAACUCCAACAACUAUGGAAAACAUUAAAUUAUCUUUCAGAACCGAUCGGCACACUAUCACCAUGUGACCAUUAAUCCUCACGCCUUCUUCUGUAUUCAUCGGCGAAUCACCUUCUGUGGCCAUUGGCAACCAUCAACAUUAGUCAUCGGCAACCACCAGCACUAGUCAUCGCCACGGAUCCAUCACCGCUCCUGGACUUGGCUAUAUCUUGUCGUUUUCUCAUCGGCAUCAACCUUCAUCGGCAACUCCUCUACGAACUUAGUUACCACCUCUCUGCCUACCGAUUUACACCUCAUCAACUCUAGAUACACGUCCAAAGAUAUGUGUCCAAAAAACGGUGUCAACACAUGCCCCCAAUUUUGGAGUAUAAAAUCAUUAAUGCUUCGAAAUUCUCCCCAGUAAUGACGCCUUUCCGCAAUUAUCCCUUUCUGUCAGCAAUUAAUUACCAAAUCCAAACAACCUCAGCCCGGUCUUACAGCAGGUACCCCGAAUUCCCCAACUUCUCGAACCGAACCCCCUUAAUAUACGUUCAUCGGCAACAUUUUCGUUAGAGAAGACUACCAAUGAACCGACCAGGAGAUCUUGCACAGUAAGAUAUCUCCAAAAUCAUGACCGCUUGCUGUCAAAUCACCUGCGCAAUCCCUUGAUUAUCGUGCGAAUAGUUGCCAUAUCCACCUGAACACCCCCGGAUUUCAUGGAUACGGCGAAGAGAUAAGUCAGAUUUCCCCUACCCUCUUUGUCCUAUAAAUACUUCCUUCUCCAGUACUCUUCCCCAUCUUAUCAUUCUACAGCCUCAAACCCACCUUCCUGGCGGCGGCACUGCUCGAGAACUUCAAGAACUCCGGCAAGGAUCUCCUCCAAUAAUUCUUCGAGUCUUCGAUUCUUUCCUCCUCCCAGGAAGAAAUGGCCAUCAACUUCAUCGUCCCUGAGGUCAACUUAACACCCCAUUUCUUCUUUUUACCAUAUUCUUGUUGUACUCCUUUUUCUCUGCAAAUCCACUUACUGAGUACCCCUUUUUCUUUUCUGUUCUUUCAACCUUCAAACCCUUUAGCAAUUGGCCGAUAAGAUUGUGAUUCCAACCGAUCAACCCCACUUCCAAUGCCUUGGCCCAUUGGGAAACCCAGAUCCUACCGAUUUGAUAAAUGUAGAGACAAAUAGGAUCCCUUUUAGAGCUAAAAACUUCUCUUUAGAUCUGUGGAAAGACACUUUUCGUUUCUGGCUGAGUUCUACCAAGGGGUGGAAAGAUUGGUUCCUGAGAAUCGGCAACUCCAAUGAAGUUCAAUGGGGUGAGCGAAAAUUAGACCAGUGCAUUAGGCUAUCCAUUGCCGAUAUGGAGAGAAACGAAUCACUGUUGAUAGCAGCUUUGUAUUUUUGGUCAGAUACUCUCAAUGCUUUUGUGUUUGGCCAUGGCCCUGCUUCUCCUACCCUUGCCGAUGUACUUAUGCUUACUAGUCUGGAAAUAGCAAGUGCCGAUGAUAGCCAUCUGUUUGACAGUAAGCCUAGUUCUAAGGUAGAAACUCGUAACAUCGGCGGUUGGUCAGGGUACAUUCAGAAGUACCGAAAGAUAGGAGCAGUUGGGCAAAGGGAACAUGCCAUCUUUCUGAAUAUGUGGCUUGAUAAAUUUGUAUUUUGCAGCCGGUCGGCAUGUCCGACUUCUGUUUAUCUAUCGGCAGCAGAAAAACUAGCCAACGACGGUCGCUUCCCCCUUGGCCGAUACUUGUUAGGCUCCGUUUACCAUAUCCUUCACCAAGUAACCGAGAAGCUUCUAUUGAGUCAACCCAUCGGCAACAUAGGAGGGCCUUGGUGGUUCAUCAACAUGUGGCUCAGUGUUCACAUGCACAAACGCCUCGGAUUUGACCUCUUUGCACAGCGUUUUCCCAGAGACAUUGCCGAAGAUUAUGAAUUAGAUGAUGAAGAGAUUAAUUAUCACCUCUGAACUAUGGCGAAGCUGCCAUAGUUUUACCUGGUACUGGUGGCAAUGAAGACCAGCUCAGCCGAUUCUUCCAAACUCUCUAUGAGGACCUUGCCAAAGAUCAGCGAGCAUGGAUGCCUUACGAGGAUCCAGAAACCAGAUUCCUGCUCACUUUCCACCCUUUUGAUGAUUCCCUUAAUAAGGACCAUGACCUGAUGAUGGCAAUUAUUUCUCCAAGGGCCAUACCAGUGAAUUUCUUUGGCAGUGGGAAAACUUCCAACCCCACCUAUGAGUUCUAUAACCCGUCGGCACUGGCUCACCAACUAGCUUUUGACCAGUUGUCGAUUGGACUCUGCUAUGCCGAUGUGCUGAAGCCAAGAGAAACCAUAACUAGUGGUCUUGAAUGGAUCAGGAUAGCCCAGCUUCCACCAAAUGUCGAUACAUCAGAUAUUGAUCUAUCGGCCUGGAUCCCGACUCUCUUCAUUACUCAGAUGUACAAGCAAUGGUGGGAAGAGUGGAAGGAACACCUAUUCUGCACAUCGGCUUUGGCAUACCACAGUAUGAUCGACCCCAAGUAUAAGGUCCCCAAAAACACCGUAAGUCUCCAACCGAUACCUCAAUUCUUUUGUUACUAUUAUCCUUAUCGGUAACUCACUUUCUCUCCUCUGAACAGGUUGACAACCCACCACCAACAGUCAGCAGGAGUGGAAAGCCGAUCGAUCUCCUUCCAUCAGGCUUGAUUUCUCUGAUCGGCAAUAACGCACCAAGCCUAGCAGCUCUAAUGCACCGAAACGUGCGUUUUAAAAAGAUAACCACCAGGCGGUUGAAGACAUCUCCAACAGUUGCCGUUGCUACUUUGGCACAAGCCUUCAAGGUAAAUCUUUGAUUUCCUCGAUUUAUACCGAUUCCAUUCUAUGCCUAAAUAGUCUUUUCAGGAUACAUCGGCUGCUGUGGGAACCUCAUCGGUAACUUUUAUCUUUUAACAUGAUUUUCAUCAAUUAUUCUUUCAUACUGGACUCAUGUAAUCUUGCUUGUUGCAACAAUAGACUGGCAAUCGGCAAAGACCAGAAGUACCAAAGCAAGUGCCGAUGCCCCCCAGUCCAGUCAAGUCAAGAGAAAAGACCCCAAGAGCACCAAGUCACAACCAAAAUGUCAGAAGACAGCACCGCCUUCUCCUCCUCAUUCGGUGUCACCGAUUCAUGUGGAAUCGUCUCCGUCUUCACCAGAAACCCAGACGCAGCAAGCACCAUCACCCCCUCAAUCAGCACCUCCUCCUCAACUAGUACCUUAGCCACAAGAAGCACCAGUCGAUGUGCUCGAGCAGACUGCCGAUCCAGCGGAUCCAAUCAUAUCAUCGGUUGUUCCCCCAGAGCAGACAAGUACUGCAUCUCCUAAAGGUAAAAUACUGACCAUAAAACUAUUACCGAUGGAUUUAUUUUUUCAAAUUAUAAUCACUCUCGUUAUUUCUCAGUUGACAUCGUUCCAUCGGCAACUCCAGCCGAUCAACCUGUGGUAUCGACGGCAUCAACCGGCCAGAGGCGUGAGAUAGCUCUGAAGCAAGUAAGUUAUCUGAUUUCCAUCCUUUUAUUACCAACAUUCAAUCAUCAAAUAACUUAUCUUUGUCUUGUCUUCAGGAACAGGACUCUCCGGAUAGCUUAUUUUCCUUCGCCAUUGAGAUUUCUGAUGAUGAAGGCGAGGAAGCAAGCUCUUCUCAAGCAAUAGGGAUCUCAUCGGCAGAAGUCAAAGCCAAGCUAGAGGAUCUACUGGCCCUGUUACACCAAGACACUGCUUAGUUGGUCGAUGACUUCGACCCGGCCAAAGCCUUGUUCAAGACUCUUCGUGGUCAAAUUCCAACCGAUGCCGAGGAGAUUCUUUUCCAAGCUGCACACUUGGAGAGCUAUCAGCUCCAGUACCAAAAGGCUACCCAGCGUCUUGCCGAUAGAGCCACCCAUGUCCAUCUUUCAGAAGAGAUAAUGAAAUUGAAGCGCCUUGCCGAUGAGAAAUACAAGAGCAUCAGCAUCCUGCAGUCCUGAGGGGAAACACUGAAGCAGAAGAUUUCUGACCUUUCGGCAAGAAGGGAAGUCUUGUUAGCCGAGCUCAAGCAAGUGGAGGAAGCCCUGUCUCAAGCUCAGCAAGAAGAAAGUGAGCUGCGUGAUAUGGUCAAGACUCUCGAGCAGGAAUGGAACACCCAAGCCCGCAAGGCGCUGCAGAUGAAGAAGAAGCUAAAGCUAGUGGAGGGUUCUGCCGAUGAGGACAUCUGCGAGAUAGAAGAAGCCGAUCAAAUCUGCCUGCGUGCCAUAUCGGCCAUCCAAGCUUUACUGAAUGUAUGAGCCCCUCAUCGGCGCCUUAUUUUAUUUCGUCCUUAGAAUACUUUGGAUCAUUCCAGUCUAGCUGAUAGGACUGUUAUCGGCACUUUUGGAAACAUCAUGCGAAACCCCAGAUACAUUUCAUCCAGCCGAUAGGAGUGUUAUCGGCACUUAAACUCUUAUGCAUCAACCCAUAUGCUUGGGUAAUACUUCUUUAGAUAUUUUCCAUUUAAUGCUCUAGGAAAAUCAACUCCUUUGAGAGUCUCCAAAAUGUAAGCAUUACCAGGAGCAGACCGAUUUAUCCGAUAAGGACCCUCCCAAUUAGGAGACCAUUUUCCAAACUUCGAACUUUUAGUCCCAAUCGGUAAAAUUAACUUCCAUACCAAAUCUCCAUUGACAAACUCCUUAGCUUUUACCUUUUUAUCAUACCACCUAGCAACCCUCUUUUUAUUUUCUUCUAUACUUAUCAAAGCUCUCAGCCGAUGCCCUCCAAAUCAUCUAACACAUCUUUCAUCAAAGUAGCAUAGUCAUCGGCAGCCAAUUGAUCUUGAAAAGAUAUUUGCCUAGACCCAGUCUUAAUUUCCCAUGGCAGCACUGCAUCGUGUCCAUACACUAAUUGAUAAGGUGAAACUUUGGUCGAUCCAUGACACGCCAUCCGAUAUGACCACAAAGCUUCAUUCAACAAUGCAUGCCACCUCCUAGGAUAUUCUUCAAUCUUUCAUUUGAUGAGCUUAAUAAUUCCUUUGUUAGACGCUUCGGCAUAUCCACUGGCUCGAGCAUAAUAAGGAGAAGAAUUCAACACUUUAAUCCCCAUACCAAUUGCAAAUUCAUCAAACUCUCCCGAUGUGAACAUAGUACCCUGAUCAAUAGUGAUUGUCUGAGGAAUACCAAAUUGGUAAACAAUAUGUUGUUUCACAAAAUCAACAAUAUUAGCCGAUGUUACUUUCUUCAAAGGAAUAGCUUCAACCCACUUAGUAAAAUAAUCAGUGGCAACUAAGAUGAAUGUUGACGGUUCUUAUGUAUCAAUUUUAAUUAUCAAAUAAACAAGAGAAAGGACCAAUAUACAAAUAACACCUAAAAUUAGGGUUUGAUCUGACAGAAUUCCACGAGUUUUGUUGUUUAUCUGUUUCUGCAGGGGGUUAUCAGGAAAUAAGGAAGAAAGACCCACAUGUCAGGAUUACAUAGAGAUAUCAACGCACCGCGCAAUUUUCUACCAUCUAUAAGACUCUAGAAGCCACAAGAACGAAGCAGAGGUCGAAAGGGGCCAGGCCCAGGGCGCCCGCCCUGAGGACCUAGGCGCCCGCCCCCUCUGUACUCCAAUCGGGACUCUUUUCGCACACGACGUUCCACCGACCUGAAGGAUCAAGGAUAACCAUGCAAUCGAUGUCGAUUUGAUCCAGUGGCUCACGUUCACUUGAGGGGACUAUAAAACCAGACCCCCUGGCCCCUGGAGAAGACAAGUUUAUCAUAGAGUUGAGGAGAGCCCUCGAAGGAAAACCUCUUCUCUAAAUAAAAUUUCUUUCUACGCUUAGCAACCAAUGUGAGUAGAAAUAGAUCUUCUAGUUUCUACUAGAUUGAGAGAGAUAGAGUGGAGGUGUAGAUUGGAGGAAGCCCGGCCUGUCGGUGUCUACUCCGAGCUUGUACAUGCGGGAUCAAGUUCUCCUAACCCGAGGCUUGCUCCUAGGAUUCUUCAGUAUUUCGACUUCUAAAUUCUAGUAAGUUCUUGUUUUAUUGUUCUUUUGGUUUAUGAGUUUAUUUUAAUCUCUUCGCGUAGAGUUUAGAGUAAUCAUCUCUAGCCUAGACGUGGUGUUUAAGCUAGGAUACUCAUAGAUAUUCCCUGACUAGCUAGACCGUGGUAGUAGCGAGGAACGUGACAUUUCCGAGUUACCUUUGCAGACCAUAUCUCGUUAGCAGGAAGGAUAGGGAUUAUAGGUGCGGGUUGAACAUCCUUUGUGGUGUCUAGAUUCCGUUAGCCUCCCCAAUAGAACAGUAGAUCAUCCUUACCAAGGUUAGAAGGAGAUUAGGUUGUAGUCUUCUCUAUUUAUCACUCACAUCGAGAAACAUUCUUUGUUGCCUAAAGGGUUAGUAGUAAUAGACCAGGUUAGUCAGAUGCACUCUUUCUCCUAGUGAUAAAAAAAUAAAUAUGAUACUCUGGAUAACCUCCCAGGUGAAGUGCUCACCAAUAUCCGUGCGCUUGCGGAUCAAUUCCUUAUUGCGUUCCCAAAUAUCAACAAUGAACUUAUGCCCCUUGCUUGAUGGUGGAUAAAUCUGGCUGAUUAGAUCAAUAGCCCAUCCCCGGAACGGCCAAGGCUUAAUAACAGGAUUCAUGGCCGAUGCGGGUGCCCUUUGAAUAUUACCAAAUCUCUGACAUUCUUGACAUCCUUUGAAAUAUUUAAAGCAAUCCUCAAGUAUAGUCGGCCAAUAAUACCCAUUUUUUCUGAUCAUCCAUUUCAUCUUAAAAACCGACUGAUGUGCUCCACACACUCCUUCAUGGAUUUCACCCAUUAAGCUUUUAGCCUCAUCAACACCUAAGCACUUGAGCAAAACUCCAUCUUGCGAUAAUAUAAUUCUUCCCCAAGGAGCACAUACUUGGUAGCCUGAAACCUAACACGCCUCUCAACCUUUUUAGGUGGAUUUUUCAGGUAAUCAAUGAUUUCCUUUCUCCAAUCAUCGGCAUUUAACACAUUUAAGAUAGGUUGAUACCCCGAGGCAUGCUGAGCCAACCGAUUAGCCUCCUCAUUAUGUAAUUGAGGAACAUGCUCUAAUCGAAAAUCCUUGAAUUCCUUCAAUAGUUGCAUACUCUUUUCAUAAUAGGUUACCAAAACCUCGCUUCAGCAUUCAUAACUCCCAGCCAAUUGAUUUAUAACAAGCAUAGAAUCACCGAAGAUUUCAACAGCAUCGGCAUGAACUUUUUUUUAACAAUUCUAACCCUUUGAUUAGAGCUUGGUAUUCGGCUUGAUUAUUCAUUGAUGUAGCAACAAUCGGCAAAGAGAACUCAUACUUCUUUCCCCGAGGAGAAAUUAGCACUAUACCGAUUCCUGCCCCACGGUCGCAUGUGGAUACAUCAAAGAAGAGCGUCCAAGGAACAAUUUUCAAAGUCCCCACUACACCGCAAUGUUGAGUCACAAAAUCAGCCAUAAUAUGUCCCUUAACUGCCUUAGCCGAUUCAUGACGUAGAUCAAAUUCAGACAGCGCCAAAAUCCAUUUGCCGAUUCUACCACUCAUAAUCAGCAUAGAUAGCAUGAAUCGGACUACAUCAUUGUAACACCCCAGGUGUUUGUCACUUGCUAAGUACUAGGUUUGAGCUCAAACAUGACAAGCUAAAUGGUAACAAAGAGGUCACAGCCAACUUAUCAAAGUAAGCCCUAACUUGGACUUGGAUGAUGCACCUUUACUUACAUAUAGGCCCUUAUUAAAAGGUAUACUUGGAUAAUGCUAGUGGAACUGUUUUCAUGUGUCUCAUAUCCAUCCCAAUCUAUGUUGGUGCCUCGAAAAGUUUGUUGAAGUUUGGAAUCAAGAAGUCACAUGAAAUGAUAAGUUACAUCCUUGUUGGAAUGGCUCUAUUAAGGAAAUAGAAUCAUGGGUCAUGAACCAAACCUUCCAAACUUUCUCAUAUGACACUAGAUGAAUUAUACAACAAAAGUCAUGAAGGGUUCAUGUUGAGCUUAUGUCAAGAAAAGGCUUCAAUUGGCCUAAAACCCUAUUUGGAGCUUUAUCGGGUUACUGCUUUGACCAAAGUGAAACAUUGACUUCUGUUGUAGUUAUGAGGUUUGACCCUAAAUGAAAGUCAUAGUUUUGCUUCUGUAGAAGAAACUUUAUUAAAGGGUCAAGAACCAAAUCAGCUUGCAAAUAGUUCAAACAGAGGCUCCAAUUUCGAAUCAGCUGCUGCUUUUUAUCCCUGAGCAAUAAUUCUAAGUCCCUGGAAAGUGAUAGCAGCAAGUUAGCUUCUUUGUGACAUUUUAUUAUCCAAAUUCAUAUGGAACUCAAUUAUAUUCCUUAAUAUGAGUUGGAGUACUCUUCUUGAUGAAAGCAUUGGAUCAAGUAUCAUCAAAUUUGGAGUUCAUUUGGAUAUCUAAAAGUAGCUCCCAAAACAGAAAAAAGUUAUUUUAUCGCUAAACGGACAUCGACCCGUUGGCAUGCCGCGUUCUCAUGUUUUUGUUAAGCAACUAAAGUUGGUCCAAGAAUAAAAGUGGUGGACAAUUACUUGGAGAAGGUCAUGUAAAAAGCUGCAUCGAUGUUUGACACGGUUUGGACCAUCAAUUCUUGGUUUUGCUAAUCACCAUCAAUACGUUGACACUCGUGACUUGGCAUCUAAUUAUCUUCUAAUCUGUUGGUCUAAUGACUGAGCAUCCUGAAUCAAAGUUGUAGUGCACAGCGAGAUGAGCAAACUUCAUUUUUGGCCCAAGGUCCAAUUCGUCCCACCUUCCCUACUUCGCUGCACGCUACAUGCUCGGCGAAAUGCGUCAAAGGGAAACGCGUGUCCUGGACGUGUCCACCAUGCACAGCGCCCCCACCUCCAUUGAUGAACCCCUGCUGCCCCUCUCACGGUCUGUGAAGCCAGAGAGCGCUCCCCACCCUUCUGUUGUGGACGUCCAGCUCCCUUGCCUCUCUCCUCGCUCUAGUCCCGCUGUCCGCCAUGGACAGGAAGCGAAGCUUCAUGGCCAGGCCGUCUGAGAGUGGCUCGGGCCAAGCUGAGUGGUGUGGAGGAUGCGGGCAAGCCUCCUAUUGCUUCCCCACCCCUCCAUCGUCCCCGACGAGGCCUCAGCCGGCCAGGUCCUGGCGACCAGGGACCUCUAGUUAGAAUAUGAAACAACACAGGGUUCCAGAUGUGAACCACAGAGUGCGUCUAGACUGCGGCUUGAUUUGUGGAAAACUCAGGGUUCCCGAGGUAAAAGUGUUUUUCUUUUUCUUUUGUUUUAGCAGAUUUCUGGGUGAAUUUCGGAAAUGCAUAGUAAUUCAUAGAAAAUUCGUAAAAUAGAAAAUAUGGACUUUUUGGAAUCCCUAUGAAAUUCUCUAUGCAUUAGAUCUAUAAAAUGGUAUGGUUUAGUUUGAAGUUUUAGUCGUAAAAAUAGAUUUAUGCAGUUAGGUUUUAAUUUCUUGUUAUAAUUGUCUUUUUCAUAACUGCUGUAGUAUUGCUCCAUUAAAUGUGAAAAUAUUGUGACAUGCUUUUCAUAUGAUGUUUGAUGUCAGGUAAAAGAUUCAUGAAUUUAGGAUUGAUAGAUUAAGAGUUAUAAAAAUAACAAAUGCCCUUUGUUGCUUUGCUCCUAUUCUGAGUGGAUCUGCAUGUUUGUUUUGUUUGGCUCAGUUAAGUUGCGAAUCUUGCCUGGAUGAAAAUAUAUAAGUUUUAGUACUUUUCAUGAACUUUCCACAAAGAUAAAUAGCACAAUUUUUGGUUAAGCACAUGUUUAGUUAUAGUUGUUUAAAGUGCUCUUCCAGUUUCUGUCUAAGCCCAGACAGGAUUGCAUUGUUUGUAAUGUAAGACCGUGUUAGUGAUAGAUUUAGCUCUAGAUGUUUAUAACCAAGUUGUUCACAAUUUCUUAGUAUUUCUAGAAACUACAUAAUUAUAAAUUAUGGACAUGUGAACCUCAAGUUAUAGCUGUUUAAUGUGGCAUGACAGAUUCUGUCCAUGUUUUGGACAGAGAUGUCUUUAUGGGGUUAAUUGACCUUGUUAACUGUGGAAUCAUCUUUAGAUGUUAUUAAGGAAGUUGUAGAUAACUUUAUAAGAUUUCCAAAAAGGUAAGAAUCAUGUUUACUGGAGGUCUACAACUCCAGUUAUGCUUCCUUGAAUUGUCUAUCAGUUUUCUGUUUGUAAUUGUACUUCUACUAUUUGGCAGCAUGAACAGUUUUAUUUAUGCAAUUAAUUCCAUGAUAUAAAUGAUAUUUGCUGUUGAACUUGUAUAUAGAAAAGAUGUAGAUAACUUACAAAUAUAUCUUGUGGUAAAGUUUCAUAUCAUUCAGAUAAGUGGUUUAUGAGUUACAGUAGUAUGAAAUUCAUCCUUUGAAAUGCUUGUUCUCUGGAAGUUUCUGGACCAGAUUAUAUGGUCAUGCAUGUUUGACUUGGUUAACUUGUUAAUCAUGCUAAUAUGAUUAAAUAUGAAUUGUAGAUAAUUUGAUAAUCUUUCCAGAAUGUCCUAUUGCAUAGUUUUUGGAGUUGUAUAACUCCAAUUAUGAUUUAUUUAUUGAGUUGUUGCAUGUAUGUCCAGAAUUGCUGAAAUACAUGAAUGCUUGAUUGCUUUACUUUGUGUGAUCUAAGUAUGAUUCAUGUCUUUAAUGGUGACUAAGUAAUACACUUGUAAACUUGUUAAACUUGUGUCAUGAUUGAUAUGUUUGCUCUAUAUAAUUGGUUGUGUGAUGUUAGCUAAAUAACUUUAGAUGCCUGUGUCUUGCAUACUUUUAUGUGAUGCAUGUUGUGUUAUUAUUCUUUAUAUUCAUGCACUUGCAUCUUGCAUCUCAUCUAGGUGCGCUAGAUGAAUCACGUGAAGGUCUUGGUGUGGGAACAAACCAGAAGAUGGUGUUGGGUGGACCCAUCCCGAAGGUGGAAGGACUAAACAAGUGUUGUAACCUUAGAUAUCACCAAGACGGAGCAACUAACUGAACUGACUCCGUAUUGAUCCCAGGCAAGCCCCGGAGCAUUAUAAGUCUCCCACUACUUUUGAAUGCAAUUGAGAAUAUAUGUUAUAUAUGUAUUGUUGCAUUAAGUAUAGGAGUUGUGAAAGGUCCAAAUGGCUAGAGGGGGGUGAAUAGCCUAUUUAAAAAUUCUACAAACUUCAACUAGACAAGUUGGUUAGUAAAACAAAAGGCGAAGCUAUUCUAGCACAAGCACAACUAAGCUAUGCAAGCCACCUACACAAGUCUAGCAAGAAAUCUAAACACAUGUAAGUAGAGGAGUGGAGAGUGAUUGUUAUACCAACGUUGUAGGGUAGAGAUAUAUCCAACCAAUCACUCACAAUCACAAGAGAGUCCUCGGCAAGAUAUGACACAAGAUUUUUUACCGAGGUUCACUUGCUUCCCGGCAAGCUAGUCCUCAUUGUGGCGAUACACCCACUUGAUGGAUCACGAGCUAAUUGGCAAUCCAAAGCGAAACCCUCAGCGGGUGCCGCACAUCCACUCACAAGAUGGGGAUCCUCCAAGCCACGAGGAAUCCACUAGAGUAGCCAAUUGCGAUCUCCCGCGGGGAAGGCUCAAGAACCCCUCACAAAUCACUUGGUGAGGCUCGAAACAAUCUCCAAUCACGAGCUCAACACCUCCCUUGCACCAAGCCAUCUAGGGCGUCGGGAAACACCCAAGAGUAACAAGAAAUCCACACUUGCAAUCACCACCUAGUGCCACAAGAAUGAAAUCACAAAUGCACAACACUAGGGUUUCCCAAAUCCUCUCACCAAAGAGCACCAAGCUAUGGGGAUGGAAAGGAGAGGGAAGAGAUGCUCUUGAAGCUCCCAGAUCUAUCACUAGAGCUCAAUCUCUCACUUGAAUGGAGCACAAAGCUUUGGGAGUGAGAGAGGAGGAGGGGAGAGCUUUCUCUACUCUUUGGAAGAGCCAUCGGAAGUCAGAAAAUGUGUUCUAAGGGAAGUGCCCGGUUAGAAACAAGGGAAACGAGUAUUUAUAGUGUGGCACCGGAAGUUCCAGUGCCUGGGACCGGAACUUCCGGUCCGACCAGAUCUAAUCGUUGAAGCCACGAUCCAAGCAGAUCUGACCGUUGUAGCCAAGCAGAUCUGACCGCUGUGAGAGACUCAAACCCACCGAAAGUUCCACCGGAACUUCCGGUCAGAGACCGGAAGUGAAUCCUGACACGCGAGGCCAUGCGCAAAGGCUCCUAUGCAGACUUCCAUUCAUGGACCAGAACUUCCGGUUAUGGACCGGAACUUCUUGUCAUGGACCGGAACUUCCGGUCAGACACCGGAAUUGUUUUCUCAAACGCGAGCGCAUCUCUCACAGGACAACCGGAGCUUCCUGUCAGGCUGAUCGGAACUUCCGGUCAGGCACCGGAAGUCCCACCGGAUGUUCCACCAGAACUUCCGGUCCUGCAUUCUCAGCACCAUCUCAAACCUUGUUAGGUUGCUAACUUUUAGCUUCGAACUCCGAAUUCGAUGAUCUUAGCCAUUUUGGAAAGCUUACUGAGAGGGCUAUACAAUCCAUAUGGAUACUCAAUCCAAGUCAUAAUGGAUCAAAGCAGUAUUUCAAUCUAAAAGCCAUCCUAAUGUCUGGAGAACACCGAAAAGCCUCUCUCUCUUCUCCAAGUUGAUCAAAAUCAACUAUAACACCUUCUCCUUUGCAAAUGUGCCAACACCACCAAGUGUACACCACCAUGUGCAUGUGUGUUAGGAUUUCACAAAUAUUUUUAUAGGCUUUCUCAUGCAACUCAGCACGUCACUAAGCGCUAGGUUAUGCAAAUGAGACUCACACUUAGUGGCACUAGUAACCAUUGCAAUUAAAGAUUUGCCCUCUUUAUAGGACGGCUAUCUAUCCUAAAUCUGGUCAAUCACUUCUCUACUCAUCUUAGACCGGCAAAAACAAAAUCCUAUAUUUAUACAUUUGCCUUGAUCACUUUACUCCUUGUCCAUCACCAUGAUCUCCACUUCAUGCCUUCUCUCUUUAUGACCAUGUGUCCACCACUCAUGUCACGUUGCUCCUUCUUCAAACGUGUUGCUAUGCCUAACUCAAAUCACUUGAACACAAAGCAUUAGCAACUUGGUGUCAUUAUUUACCAAAACUAAACUUGGGCUUUCAAUCUCCCCCAUUUUGGUAAUUGAUGACAACCAUUACAAAGAUAUGAAAUGAAAUCAUAAUGAACUUGAAUUGCUUGUCCAAAGCAUUUUAAUCAUGAGACAAGGUUGGACAAACAUUUCAAUUUCGAUUUUGGUAGUACUAGCUCCGCCUACAUAUGUGCUUCCAUGAGUUUGGUUCAAGUUUGCACGUAUGCAUGAAUUGGAAUUUUGGGAGAUUUAUUACUACCAAAAUGAUGCUAAGGUAUAUAGAAUGGACCUUUGAAGCGUGAUACCAAUCGGAGUUGCCAAUAUACCAUCCUUAGCACCAAUGUAGCUAGACAUACAUCAAAAACUCAAGAUACCUCAUGAGAUCACAUUAUAUGUCUAGAUACCACAAGAAAAUAAAAACUCUAUACUAGAAUUCAAAGCAUCAUUCAAGUUUUAUUUCUAGCAAUCAUCAAUCAAACAAGAGUAGUGAAUUUAAACUUGUAAUGCAACAUCUCAUUAUGUUAGUGCACAUACAAAUGCAACAAAUGGUUCAUGAGCUUGCUCCCCCUAUUUGUGUGCUCAAGUUUUAAUAUUUUCAAAAUUUUUCUCUCCCCCUUAAGCACUUUUCUCCCCCUUAACGACUUAUCUUUGUUUCUCUCCCCCUUUGUCAUCAAUGACCACAAAGGUUCAAAUUUUUAAUGAGAAUUAAGUCAGUCAAUGUGAGGGUCAAAUUAUGGUUCAAUCUAGAUCACUUUCCUAGAACAUGUAAUUCGGUGUGAUCCAAGGACAAGCUUUUUCACACCUCAUGAAAUAUAAGGUUUAUCUUGACCAUGUUGAAUUACACAUCAUAAGCUCAUAUUCUAGAUUCAACACUAGGCUUGCAAGCUCACAAACAUGUCAUAUGCUACCACUAGAUCAAUCAAUCAUAGAAACAAUAGUGGUACCAUACAUACAUCAAAACCUUUUGAUUUUCAUGAAUGAGCCUAUUAUCAUGCAAACAUGUCUAUAUGUUCUAAACAUUUCCUUAGCAAAGUAUGAAUGCUAUGUCAACCAUCAUUACCUUGCUUUGUUGGAGGAGAGGCAUGUCAUAUGGAAAUGUGGGGGUGUACUCAUCUCAAGUUGGAGAAGUCAAGUAUGUUCAAUUCAUUCAUCAACUUGCAAAAUCUCUUCUCAUCAAGUGGCUUUGUGAAGAUGUCGACUAGUUGAUCUUCGGUGCCAAUGCUUUGAAUGCUAAUAUCACCCUUUUGUUGACGAUCUCUUAUGAUAUGGUGCCUUAUGUCAAUGUGCUUGGUUCUUGAAUGUUGAACAGGAUUUUGUGUCAUCUUGAUUGCACUCUCAUUGUCACAUAGCAAAGGCACAUUCUUGAAUUUGAUUCCAAAGUCAUUCAAGGUAGCUUUCAUCCAAAGCAAUUGUGCACAACAACUACCAGCACUAAUGUAUUCGGCCUCGGCUGUUGAUAGUGCAACACUAUUUUGUUUCUUUGAUGACCAUGAAACUAGAGACCUUCCUAGCAAUUGACAAGUGCCACUUGUGCUCAUUCUAUCAAUCUUGCAUCCACCAUAAUCGGAGUCCGAAUAACCAAUCAACUCAAAGUUAGACCCCUUGGGAUACCAUAAUCCAACAUCAUGAGUGCCCUUGAGAUACCUCAAUAUUCUUUUGGUUGCCUUCAAGUGACUUUCUCUAGGUGAAGCUUGGCAUCUUGCACAUUUGCACACACACUAAACAUCACAUCCGGCCUUGAUGUAGUGACAUAGAGCAAACUUCCAAUCAUAGAACGGUAUAGCUUUUGAUCUACCAUGUUGCCACUAGCAUCACUACCUAAUUGAUCAUUUGUGCCCAUAGGUGUGCUCAUUGGUUUAGCUUCUUGCAACCCAAACUUCUUGAUCAUGUCCUUGAUGUACUUGCCUUGACUUACAAAGGUGCCAUCCUUCAUUUGCUUGAUUUGAAGACCAAGGAAGUAACUAAGCUCUCCAAUCAUGGACAUCUCAAACUCAUUUGCCAUCAUUCUUCCAAACUCUUCACAAAAGUCUUGAUUGGUUGAUCCAAAGAUGAUAUCAUCAACAUAGAUUUGCAACACAAACAAGUCAUUGCCUAGUUUCUUGAUGAAGAGGGUAGUGUCAACCUUUCCCAUCUUGAACCCUUUGGAGAGAAGGAAAUCUCUCAAUCUCUCAUACCAUGCUCUAGGAGCUUGCUUCAAACCAUACAAUGCCUUCUUGAGCUUGUAAACAUGGUUGGGUUUCUUGUCAUCUUCAAAACCGGGACGUUGUUCAACAUAAACCAACUCAUUUAUAUAUCCAUUGAGAAAUGCACUCUUCACAUCCAUUUGAUAGAGCUUGAUGUUGUGGGCACAAGCAUAGGCUAAUAGGAUUCUAAUUGCCUCCAAUCUUGCAACCGGUGCAUAAGUUUCUCCAAAGUCAAGACCUUCAACUUGAGUGUAGCCUUGUGCUACUAAUCUUGCUUUGUUUCUCAUGACUACACCAUCUUGAUCUUGCUUUUUUCUAAAGACCCACUUAGUACCAAUCACAUUGUAGUUCUUUGGCCUCUCAACAAGCUCCCACACUUGAUUUCUUGUGAAGUUGUUCAAUUCUUCAUGCAUGGCAUUUACCCAAUCAGAAUCUUUCAAUGCAUCUUCAAUCUUCUUUGGUUCCUCGAAUGAGACAAAUGAGUAGUGCUCACAAAAGGAUGCUAGCCUUGAUCUUGCUUGCACACCACUUUCAAUACCACCAAUGACUUGAUCCAAUGGAUGAUUGUUGGGUAUUUUAAACGCAAACAGAAAAAUCCGCAAGCGCACGGAUACCGAUGUAGCCUUCACCCGGGAGUAUUCCAGAGUAUCGAUUUUCCACAGGGAACGUGAGUGUACUAAUUAAGAUCCAAAAUCACCCAAGGAUAACUAUAUAAUUGUUUUUGGUGGGAAGAGAGGAAGUUUCCUGAGAGUUCUCUAGUUGAUCUAAGAAUCAAGAAUUACUUCAAGAUUAUCUAUGUCGGGACAUCAGAGCACUAACCACAGAAAGAGAUGAGAAGGGGGCUAGGAAGGUCUGACUACGGUCCUACAAACACCGAUCCGAACGUGGUGGAAUACGUCGACCGUUAGGGCUGUCACNNNNNNNNNNNNNNNNNNNNNNNNNNNNNNNNNNNNNNNNNNNNNNNNNNNNNNNNNNNNNNNNNNNNNNNNNNNNNNNNNNNNNNNNNNNNNNNNNNNNAUGGGUGCAUUCCAGGUAUUGCAGGCUAAACACCACGUCUAAUCUAUUAAUUACUACUCUAGCGUUAUAUAGACUAGAGCACUUGAUGCAAGCGGGAAUCCAAUAAAUAACUUGAAUGUAAAUAAAAGUAAUUAAAGAACUCAGGAUUAUGAAUUGAAGAACCUGGAGAACGAUGAAGAACAAACCAGUUGCUGCAAAAGUACAAUGUUGAGGAAGAUCCGACAGAUCCGGCUCCUCCUCCGCUCUCCUCUUCUCUCUCCCUAUUUUCUAGAUUACAACUAGAACUAACUAGAACUAGAACUAGAGGAACUAGAACUAGAACUAGAUGAACUAGAACUAGAUCUAGAUGAACUAGAGGUAGAACUAGAAGAACUAGAGGGAUUCUCUCUACUUGGAUGAAGAAUUGAAACCCUAACUUUGAUUCUGUAGAAGAGGUAUGAUCUCCAGGGGCCAGGGGGUCUGGUUUUAUAGUCCCUUCAAGUGAAUCUGGGCCGUCGGAUCAAACCGACAUUGAUUGAACGGUUAUUGUUGAUCCUUUAGGUCGGUGGAGCAAUAUCCCGAAAGAGAGUCCUGAUUGGACUCUGGCUGAGGGCGGGCGCCCAGGAAAGGAGGGCGGGCGCCCUGUCCCUGUGUCUUCUCGGCCUCCGCUUCGGUCCCGUGGCUUCUGGAGUCUUCUAGAUGAUAGAAAAUUGCGUGGCAUGUUAAUAUCUCUAUGUAAACCCGACGUGUGGGCCUUUCUUUUAUAUUUCCUGAUAACCUCCUGCAGAAAUACACAAACACCAAAACUCGUGGAAUUCUGUUAGAUAAAACCCUAAGUCUAGGUGUUGGUUCCAUUUGGAUCCUUUUCCAUGAUUAGUUGAUGGUUAAAUAUGAGCAUUAAGGACCGUCAACAAUGAUCUCUUGCUGUGCUUGUAGGUUGGAGUAUUGGGAGUUGAUUGCUUUCACUUGCUUGAUUUUGAUUUUGAACAUCAUUAUGAGAGCCACUAGUACUAACUUGAUUUGUAUCAAUUUGCACUUCUUGAUUGAUCAUGUGAAUGUCAUUAUCAUCAUCAACUUGCCUUGGCCUUAUGUCACCAACAUCCAUGUUCUUCAUUACAUUUGCCAAUUGAUCUCCUCUCACAUCAUCAAGAUUUUGAGCUUCACUUUGUGAUCCUUUGGUUUCAUCAAACUCAACAUCAUGGACUUCUUCCAAUGUGCCACUUGCCAAGUUCCAAACUCUAUAUGCCUUGCUUCUGGUGGAAUAACCAAGUAAGAACCCUUCAUCACAUUUCUUCUCAAACUUGCUCAAUCUUGUGCCUUUCUUGAGAAUGUAGCAUUUACAACCAAACACUCUAAAGUAUGCAAUGUUGGGCUUUCUUCCAUUCAAUAGCUCAUAUGGUGUCUUCCCAAGCUUCCCAUGACAAUAGAGACGGUUGCUACAAUAGCAAGCCAUGUUGAUAGCUUCACUCCAAAAUGAAUGGCUAACAUUGUAUUCACUAAGCAUUGUUCUAGCCAUAUCAAUCAAGGUUCUAUUCUUCAUUUCAACUACUCCAUUGGAUUGAGGAGUGUAUGUUGGAGAGAAUUGAUGUCCAAUGCCAAGAUCAUCACACAAUUCCUCAAUUCUUGUGUUCUUGAAUUCACUACCAUUGUCACUUCUAAUCUUCUUGAUAGUGGUUUCAAACUCAUUUUGCACCCUCUUGACAAAAGACUUGAAUAGAUCACAAACAUCACUCUUGUCAUAGAGGAAGAACACCCAAGUGUAUCUAGUGUAGUCAUCUACUAUCACAAAUCCAUACUUGUUGCCACCAAUGCUAGUAUAUGUUGUUGGCCCAAAUAAAUCCAUGUACAAUAGCUCAAAUGCCUUUGAUGUGCUCAUUUCACUUUUCUUGGGAUGUGCAUUUCCAACUUGCUUUUCGGCUUGACAGGCACUACAUGGUUUAUCCUUCUCAAAACUGACAUCCUUCAAGCCUCUAACUAAGUCAUGCCUCAAAAGUUUGUUCAAUUGUUUCAUUCCAGCAUGACAAAGCCUUCUAUGCCACAACCAACCCAAACUUGAUUUGCUAAUUAGGCAUGAUGUCAAUUGAGUGUCACUAUCAUUGAAAUCAACCAAGUAUAAGCUACCAUGCCUAAAUCCUUUGAAUAUCAAGUUUGAUCCAUCAACACUAACAACCUCAACAUCAUCACUACCAAAGAUGCACUUGAAACCAAGGUCACAAAGUUGUGCAAUUGACAAGAGAUUGAAAUCUAGGCUCUCAACUAGCAACACAUUUGAUAUGCUCAGGUCAUUUGAGAUAGCAAUUUUACCAAGCCCUUUGACCUUGCCUUUCUUGUUGUUGCUGAAGGUGAUAGAAUCAAUGCCACCAUUUUGAUUUGUAUCAAUGGAUUUGAACAUACAAGACUCUCUGGUCAUAUGUUGAGUGCACCCACUAUCAAGCACCCAAUGCCUUCCUCCGGCUUUGUAAUUGACCUUAGUGGCCUUAGCCAUGAAGCAUGAUGGAGUGUUGAAGAUGGAGCUUUUUCCUUGAAUGGCAAUGCUAGCAUGCGCCUUCUUCUUGGUGCUAUCCUCAUCACUUGAGGAGUCAUCACUAUCCCAAGUUGCAACAUGGGCAUCACCCUUCUUCUUGUUUGAGCCUUCCUUCUUUUCUUGCUUCUUCUUUGCUUCUUUCUUUCUUUCUUGAUAGCAUCUUCAUCAUCACUAUCAUAAGGACACUUGGUGAUGAGAUGAUCCUUGCUAUGGCAUCUAAAGCACCUCAUGGAAUGGUUAUUCUUCUUGGAGGAGCUCUUCUUCCUUCUUGCCCGAUAGCCCUUCUUAUUCAUAAACUUGCCAAAUCUUUUGACAAGAAGAGCCAUCUUCUCAUCUUCAUCACUAUCACAAGUGCUUGCUUCUUCUUCACUUGAUGACUCUAUCUUGGCUUUGCCCUUGGAUGAGGAGGCCUUGAAUGCCACACUUUUCUUCUUCUCAUCAUCCUUCUUCUCACCAUCCUUCUUCUUCUUCUUGAUCAACUCAUCCUUCUCAUCAUCUUCUAAGCAUCAUCGGUCAUCACUUCUUGGAACACUUGAAUGGGGAGUUGAUUCACUAAGUGUUGUCUUGACUAGCACGGUGAUCAAAGUGUCAAAUCUCUUGGGUAAGCAUCUCAAGAACUUCAUAGAGAAUUGACUAUCCUUCACUUCUUCCCCAAGUGCCUUGAGCUCAUUCACAAUAACUUGCAACCGGUGAAACAUCUCCGGCAUAGUUUCAUCUUCUUGCAUCUUGAAGCUUGAGAACUUUUCUUGGAGGAUAUAUGCCUUGGCAGUCUUGGUUCCCUUGGUGCCCUUAAAUGUUUCUUCUAGUUUUGCCCAUGCAUCAUGAGCAAUCUCAAAGUUCUUGAUUUGCUCAAAGGUCUUAUCAUCAAGAGCUUCAUGAAGAGCACUUAUUGCAAUGUCAUUGCAUUGAAGCUUCUUUUCUUCAACCGGUGUAGGUGCAUUCUCAUUUGCAACCUCAAACUUUAUUUCGGUCACCUUCCAAACUUCUCUAUUGAUUGACUUGAGAUGGGCGGUCAUCUUGACCUUCCAAUAAGCAUAAUUGGUGCCAUCAAAGUAAGGUGCCUUCUUGGUGUUGUUGAUAUACAAACUAAGAGCCAUUUCUUCACCGUAGGUUGUUAAGCCUCAAAUAAAUGGUGCCUUGGCUCUGAUACCACUUGAAAGGUCCAAAUGGCUAGAGGGGGGUGAAUAGCCUAUUUAAAAAUUCUACAAACUUCAACUAGACAAGUUGGUUAGUAAAACAAAAGGCGAAGCUAUUCUAGCACUAGCACAACUAAGCUAUGCAAGCCACCUACACAAGUCUAGCAAGAAAGCUAAACACAAGUUACAACAAGAAAGCACAACUACAAACUUGCUACACUCCUAAACAAGAAGACUAAACUAAACAAGCUAAACAACUAGCAAGAUAAACAAGUAAGAAAAGGAGUGGAGAGUGAUUUUUAUACCAACGUUGUAGAGUAGAGAUAUAUCCAACCAAACACUCACAAUCACAAGAGAGUCCUCGGCAAGAGAUGACACAAGAUUUUUACCAAGGUUCACUUUCUUCCCGGCAAGCUAGUCCUCGUUGUGGCGAUACACCCACUUGAUGGAUCACGAGCUAAUUGGCAAUCCAAAGCCAAACCCUCAGCGGGUGCCGCACAUCCACUCACAAGAUGGGGAUCCUCCAAGCCACGAGCAAUCCGCUAGAGUAGCCAAUUGCAAUCUCCCACGGUGAAGGCUCAAGAACCCCUCACAAAUCACUUGGUGAGGCUCGAAACAAUCUCCAAUCACGAGCUCAACACCUCCCUUGCACCAAGUUGUCUAGGGCAUCGGGAAACACCCAAGAGUAACAAGAAAUCCACACUUGCAAUCACCACCUAGUGCCACAAGAAUGAAAUCACAAAUGCACAACACUAGGGUUUCCCAAAUCCUCUCACCAAAGAGCACCAAGCUAUGGGGAUGGAGAGGAGAGGGAAGAGAUGCUCUUGAAGCUCUCAGAUCUAUCACUAGAGCUCAAUCUCUCACUUGAAUGGAGCACAAAGCUUAGGGAGUGAGAGAGGAGGAGGGGAGAGCUUUCUCUACUCUUUGGAAGAGCCACCGGAAGUUAGAAAAUUUGUUCUAUGCGAAGUGCCCGGUUAGAAACAAGGGAAACGAGUAUUUAUAGUGUGGCACCGGAAGUUCCGGUGCCUGGGACCGGAACUUCCGGUCCGACCAGAUCUGACCAUUGGAGCCUCAAUCGAAGCAGAUCUGACCGUUGUGGCCAAGCAGAUCUGACCGUUGUGAGAGACUCGGACCCACCGGUCAGAGACCAGAAGUGAAUCCUGACACGUGAGGCCAUGCGCAAAGGCUCCUAUGCGGACUUCCAUUCAUGGACCGGAACUUCCGGUUAUGGACCAGAACUUCUGGUCAUGGACUGGAACUUCCGGUCAGACACCGGAAGUGUUUUCUCAAACGCGAGCGCAUCUCUCACAGCCCAACCGGAACUUCCGGUCACGCACCGGAAGUACCACCGGAACUUCUGGUCCUGCAUUCUCAGCACCAUCUCAAACAUUGUUAGGUUGCUAACUUUUAGCUCUGAACUCCGAAUUCAAUGAUCUUGGACAUUUUGGAAAGCUUACUCAGAGGACUAUACAAUCCAUAUGGAUACUUGAUCCAAGUCUCAAUCCAAGAGCCAUCCUAAUGUCCGAAGAACACCGAAACACCUCUCUCUCUUUACCAAGUUGAUCAAAAUCAACUUCAACACCUUCUCCUUUGCAAAUGUGCCAACACCACCAAGUGUACACCACCAAGUGCAUGUGUGUUAGCAUUUCACAAACAUUUUUAUAGGAUUUCUCAUGACACUCAUCACGUCACUAAGCGCUAGGUAUAUGCAAAUGAGACUCACACUCAGUGGCACUAGAUAACCAUUGCAAUUAGAGAUUUCCCCUCUUUAUAGUACGGCUAUCUAUCCUAAAUCUAGCCAAUCACUUCUCUACUCAUCUGAGACCGGCAAAAACAAAAUCUUAUGUUUAUACCUUUGCCUUGAUCACUUUACUCCUUGUCCAUCACCAUGAUCUCCACUUCAUGCCUUCUCUCUUUAUGACCAUGUGUCCACCACUCAUGUCACGUUGCUCCUUCUUCAAAUGUGUUGCUAUGCCUAACUCAAAUCACUUGGACACAAAGCAUUAGCAACUUGGUGUCAUUAAUUACCAAAACCAAACUUGGGCUUUCAAGUUGGGUGAAACCCUUGCUGCAUAUAUCACUCCUUAUAACCCUAUGUAGAUUCGGGAUCGAAUCUAAAUGCUUAGUCAUGCUUACACCGAUAGAAGCCAGGUGAUGUCCUGUCACCUGAGCAAGAUACACUAGUACAGAAAAUAUUUUUACAGGCGGUUAAGGCAUCUUCACAGGCGGCCAAGCCCACCGCCUGUACCAGGGGUCAGUACAAAAUAGACCACAGCACAGGCGGGGCUGUGUGAGCCGCCUGUGAAAAUUAGGUUUUCACAGGCGGCCACCUAGCCAGCCGCCUAUGUAAAUGAAUAUUUACACAAGCGGCUGACAAGGUGAGCCGCCUGUGUAAAUGUAUUUUUACACAGGCGGCUCACACUACACCGCCUGUGUAAAUAAUUUUUUAUAUAUAUUUCAAAUUUUAAUUUUUCCCACCAAACACAGUGCUAAACACCAUAUAUAUGUAUAUAUAUAUAUACACACACACACAUCAUACAUACACCACAUAUAUAUAUUAUAGAAUUGUAAACAUGAAAUCAAACAUCAACCAUAAAAUUACAUAUAUACACGUCAAUGCAUGUUAUCCGCACGACCAUACAAUGUUUACAUGUCUUUUCGCUUCAGAUUUAGACCUGCUAUGUCUGUCAGCACUCUAAAUUUAUCACUUCCUAAAUCGCCCUCAUGAUCAAAAUAUGCACCGUCACUUGGAAUUAUUUCUCUCACUAUAAAACCAAAGUCUGCUACUAUAUCUUCCAGAGUCUUUGGUGUAAAGGGCACGUCCUUUCCUUGCUAUUUUGGCUGGAAACAAAGUUUAAAAGCAUGAUUGACACAUGUUAAAUAUAUAAUUUUGCAACUUUAAUGAGAAAACUUCAUACAUAUAUAUUAUUUACCAUAUUUUUGUCCCUGACGUAACGUCCCCGCUGCCUUAUAAACUCACAGACAUAGUACCCACAAUAGACUGAUCCAGGUGGUUGCUUGUGGCACUAUAUAAUGAGCAACGGAUUAUUCUAAAUUUGCGAUGCUUUAUGUAUUACUUAUAUGAUGAAAUGUGUUUGGACAACUUACCGGAUAGUGGUGCUGUAUCAUCAAUGGCACCCUAGGAUCUGAGCGUGCGACGUCGACCGGUCCCUUUUGUUUCUUAUAAAACCGCCAUGCCCUGUAGAUAUCGAAUAUAAAUCACUAAAGUUAUUUUGAAACUCUAAUUUAUAUAAGUACGCAUGUGGUUUCAUAUGUUGGCUCACUUUUCUAAUUGAACCAAGAAUGGUUGAUACUUCUCGGGAGGAACAUGUAAAGAGUUUAGGACAAGCACCUUCCCUUCGAAGGGAUAAAUAUAAAAAACAAUCCAAUGGUCACUGCAUGAAUAAAUGAGUGAGCGACACAUUUAUAUUGUUUGCACGAUAAUUAUUUGAAGUACGUAUAUGAAGUCAAGCUUACCUAAAGUUGAAAGGUGCCAAUAUAAAAUCCCUAUACUUACACCUCAGCAUUGAUCUACCAAGAUAGAGGGCAUAAUUAUCCUCGUAUUUUAUUUGCAACUCUUUUAUAGCUUCUGCAACUUCUUCUGGUGUUUUGUCUUCCUCUAUCUUUGCUCUAUCUUCCUUUGAUAGUACAAAUUUGUGCAUAUUUUUCCUGUAACUUGAUAGGGCUCACAUAACCGACCAUCGAUCCGGUAGAUAAUAAUGACCUCUGCUCGUGAUCUUGCAAACUACAGACAACAUCUACAUAUUAGAUUUUCACACUACAUAUUAAUAAUAAUUAUUAUGUCUGCAUGAGUGAUACUUACAGACACCAGACUGUUAUGAGUUGGACGUCAAGCCGCCUAUAGUCCAAUAACAAGUGCAUGUCCUCAAAGGUAACAAAUGCCUUGCUUUUUUCGUUACCAGUAGCAAACAUGUCUGCUGGUAUAUCAACUCUGAUUGCAUGGAGGCCAGCAUGCACUGCUCUCAUGUACCCGUCAUGAAACCUUUUUAUCAGCCAGUGAAUCUUAUCAAGCAGCGUCCAUUGGAGCAUAGGCCUUCCGGGCACAUAGUCACUGGGGACAUUGACAUAAUCAUCAAUCGUUGGCUUUCUGAUAUCCUUUAGGGUCAAUGGUUGACUUGAUGGCUGUUUAACAUGUACAUCGCCACUUGGGGCUUCCUUUGAUGGGGGCAUGGCUUCUGUUGACUGGGCGGUGGCUUCCUUUUUCUGUGACGGUUUGAGCUCAAUAAGUCGUGCCGUCCGCUGCUUUCCAAGUCCUUUCAGAAAGAGAGUUGUGCCUGCUGCUUUCCCCUUUUUUGGCUCAAUGGGAGAAAUCAAAUUUGAAAUUGGAAAUUUCUUCACCUUCUUAGAGGCCGGUGCUGCUGGGGGAGUUUGGUCAUCUUCCUUCUGCUUUGGAGGUGGUGGGGGAGUCUGCUCAUCCUCCUUCCCCUUUGAAGGUGGUGGGGGAGUUUGCUUAUUCUCCUUUGAUGGCGAAGUCUGCUGCUCAGGCAUGUUCUCCUUGGCUGGCACCUCAGACUCAUUCUGCAAGAAUGCCAUCUCAUGUAUUGGGGAGGAUGGUGGUGGCUCAUAAAUGUACGGGGAUGCUGGAGCAUGCAUUGGUGAUGGUGGCUGUUGAUAUGUUUCGGCCUCUUGGUAUGGUUGAGGCACUAUGCUUGGAGAGGGUGGCACUAGUGGAUCAAUCAACCUUACGUAUCGUCUCGGCCAUUGUAUGAAGUUGUUGAUUGCUUGUCCAAUCUUCUCUAUACCCUCAGAGGUCAGGAUUGUAACAGAACCGCCCAAGUUAUAAGAGAUUAAGCCUAAUAGUGACCAUUUGCAUAGUCAAAACCAUCGAGCUUAAGCCCAUAUAAUCCCGGUAGUCCGUGAAAUCUCGAAGGAUUUCAAACUACAUAUCGUACAUACAGCUAAGAUCGUAAUAAGUUUAGCGGUCACCAUCCACAAUUACAUCCAGUUCAUAAACAUCCAUCAAAUACAUCGGAGUGCUUAAAAUUAUUACAAACCAAGUUCUCAAGUAGCGGAAGCUUCGUAGUUUGGAAAAUAACACACACAUACAUAGUCUGAUACAGUGCCAUAGUUCAGUCAUUCCCACAAAAGCAAAAGAUGAGGUAGAGUGACCAUCGGCCUUGGUCUAAUCAUCGCCCAUUGCUAGGUACAAGCAGAGGAUGCAAUAACCAUAGUACAUUUGACCAUCUACAAAACAACAUGGGAAUAGAACCCUGAGUACGAGAAUGUACUCAGCUAGACUUACCCGUCAUAAACCAAAAAUAAAGACUCUUCAAGGAUCAUGAAGGCUAUAUGGUGGGUGUAGUUGAUGACUUUUUGCAUAAAAGCCCCAUGUGAGUAGACGAGUGGCAUAAAACCCAUAAGUACAUUAAUUGUGGUGGCAUAAAAAUAAAAUAAAUAUUUUUCUGCUCUAGAAAAAACAAAAAUAUAAAAACAGGGAGUAAUAUUUAUUAAGGAGUCUCAACAUGAUAAAGGUUAGAUAUUUAUGCUAACACUUAAUCAGUACCACAAGCUUUGUUGUCUAUUUGAGCUCUACAGAAUUUAAGAAUCAAGAAGACUAGCAGACGGAGGACAUUCUAAUCGCUGUCAAAAUACUGCUGACUUUCAAACACACCUCUGCCACCUGCUAGCUACAUCAAGAGAAAUUACGUCAAAAUUCAGCUUGGGGGAGAGCACCCCCAUUUAUCUCGAUAAGUAUUUCUAUCUAUCUUUAUACUUAUACUAUAUUAGAAUAUAAAUACACAUAACUAUGAAAAACCAAAUAAAGAUUUUAUGCUUUGCUUAGUGUGUUUAAUAAAUAAAUAAAGUGGCUAUGCUAAUCUGUAUCUAAUAAAACUUAAGCAUGGAUAUGAUGAAUAGUUGCUCUGCCUAAUUUGCAAAUUUGAAGUUUUCUCUCAAGUUUAGAUAUAACUGUUAUAAUUUAAGGCUUGCUCUAGACCUAAACUUGUGGGAUGAAAACUUGAUCUGAAGUCUAAGUUGUUAACGGAUACGAUAUGGGAAGGUUGAGCUGCUGUUUAUCUGUCCCUAGAGAUGCUAGAAUUCUGAAGAAUUUUAUCUUUGAAAAUCUUUAAAAUGUUGCAUGAUGAGUUCCUGUAUGAUGAGAGUUUAAAUUCCUACCACAGCCAUAUAUACAUGCUUGCUAGACUUUGAGCCACACAUUUAUUAUUUACUGCUUAUGAGCAUUGAGUGUGGUCAAGCUGUGUAGACCCUUAGGAGCUUGUCAUGUGGUUAAAUCAAGAUUCACUUGCACGUUCACUCAUACAUGCUACUUCUACUCCGGAAGUACCAUCCACAUAUAUCCACUCAUUUCCAUCUCCACAUUCACCCAAAAAUUAUUCUACUCCUAAUCCGGGAGAGAAUAGCCAAAAAUAUUAUCCUAUCCGUGUUAUUCCCUGUGAAAUAAAUGCUCGAGUUAUCCUGGUUACUACCACUUGCUAUAUUAUUUAAGGAGAUGAGUGCUCUAAAAAAAAGAAGAAAAAAAAAGAAAAAAAAAUAAUAUACGAGGAAAUAAAAAGGGGCAAGUGCCCGGAACCUCGAAGAAAAUAAAAAGUGAGACGAGAGGUAAAAAUGGACAAGUGUCCGAUAGUAGAAUUAGAGGUACAAGAUACCCACCUGAGAGAAAAGAAAAAGAAAAUAUAGAGCAUCUCAUUCCCCCUCAAAAAGCUUCAAAGUGCAAGAAAGGUAUGUAUCCCCUCAAAAGAGCAAAAGUAGAAUUAGACUUUCACCAUUGUUUUCACCAUUAUCACCAUCAUCACCAUACACCAUUCAUUCGCCACGCAUGCACAUCUUGAUAUUGACUUAUUGACUUGUUUCUCUGGAUCCAUGGUUUGACUAUGCAACAAAUGUCUUAUAAGUAUGUAUACUUUAUCUCCCACCUAUGAGCUCCAGAUAUCAAAGCCUUAUUAGAGUAGGAUGAGAGAGAAGGCAAUGUCACUAUGCCUCAUACCACAAAUACCACAUACUUUGAGAGAAGGCAUAUAACAUCACUGCAUUGGUAAGGAUCCAGAAAUACCACAAAAGAGAGACUAGAGAGAGUCAUACAGGAAUCUCUAAGUUUUAUUUGAAAACCUGCAAAAACUCCAGAGCUAUAGUUGAUCAAAGAACAAGAGACAUGGUGCUUGACUUGACCAUUCUAUCUUUUAACUGCUCAAGACACAAGUGACGGUUGCAAGCCCCAUGGUGGAAGGUAAUAUGAGUAAGUUUAAAUCUUAACAUUUUACCUUAACUUAGAGAUGAGAUCUUGUUUGAACGCAUGUGUACCCUUAAGGCAUAAAACCACUGCAAAAACUCUUGAGUCCAUCCUUGCUCAGGGACGAGCAAUAGGUAAGCUUGGGGGAGUUGUUGACGGUCCUUAAGUAUCAAAUUUAACCAUCAAAUAAAUAAAGAAAAGGAUCCAAAUACAAACAACACCCAAACUUAGGGUUUUAUCUGAUAGAAUUCCACGAGUUUUGGUAUUUGUCUAUUUCUACAGGGGGUUAUCAGGAAAUAUGGAGGAAAGGCCCACACGUCGGGUUUACAUGGAGAUAUUAACGUGCCGCGCAAUUUUCUAUCAUCUAGAAGACUCCACAAGCCACGGGAACGAACGGGAGCCCAAAAGGGGCCAGGCCCAGGGCGCCCGCCCUGAGGACCUGGGCGCCCGCCCACCUCUAGACUCCGUUCCGGACUCUCUUCGCACACGACGUUCCACCGACCUAUUGGAUCCAGAAUAACAUAGUACCACCUCGCCUAUCGACCCAAAAACGCAUAGAAGGGGAGGACUAUAUAAGGAGACCCCCUCUGGCCCCUGGAGGAGACAAGAAAUUAUCAUAGAGAUUGAGGGGUGCCCUCGAAGGAAAACCUCUUCUCUAAAUAAUAUUUCUUUUUAGGCUUAGCAACCAAUGUAAAGUAGAAAUAGAUCUUCUAGUUUCUACUAGAUUGAGAGAGAUAUAGUGGAGGUAUGGAUCGGAGGAAGGCCGGCCUAUCGGUGUCUACUCCGAGUUGUACCUACGGGAUCAAGUCUCCUAACCCGAGGCUUGCUUCUAAGAUUCUUCAGUAAUUCAACUUCUAAUACUAGUAAGUUCUUGUUUUAUUGUUCUUUGGUUUAUGAGUUUACUUUAAUCCUCUUCCGGUUGAGUAUUAGAGUAAUCACUUGUUAGCGUAAACGUGGUGUUUAGGCUAGGGUACUCAUAGAUAUCCCCUGACUAGCUGGACCGUGGUAGUAGCAAGGAACGUGACAUUUCCGAGUUACCUUUGCAGAUCACAUCUCGUUAGCAGGACGGGUAGGUUUAUAGGUGCGGGUCGAACAUGUGUUGUCUAGAUUCUGUGAGCCUCCCCAAUAGAACAGUAGAUCAUCCUUACCAAGGUUAGAACGAGACUACGGUUGCAGUCUUCUCUAUACAUCACUCACAUCGAGAGACAUUCUUUGUAGCCUAAAGGGAUAGUAGCAAU